rnacentral:rRNA from 1 species
CCUACGGGAGGCAGCAGUGAGGAAUAUUGGUCAAUGGACGAGAGUCUGAACCAGCCAAGUAGCGUGAAGGAUGACUGCCCUAUGGGUUGUAAACUUCUUUUAUAUGGGAAUAAAAUGUUCCACGUGUGGGAUUUUGUAUGUACCAUAUGAAUAAGGAUCGGCUAACUCCGUGCCAGCAGCCGCGGUAAUACGGAGGAUCCGAGCGUUAUCCGGAUUUAUUGGGUUUAAAGGGAGCGUAGGUGGAGUGUUAAGUCAGUUGUGAAAGUUUGCGGCUCAACCGUAAAAUUGCAGUUGAAACUGGCAGUCUUGAGUACAGGAGAGGUGGGCGGAAUUCGUGGUGUAGCGGUGAAAUGCUUAGAUAUCACGAAGAACUCCGAUUGCGAAGGCAGUUCACUGGACUGCAACUGACACUGAGGCUCGAAAGUGUGGGUAUCAAACAGGAUUAGAUACCCUAGUAGUC